UGAGGAAUAUUGGACAAUGGAGGCAACUCUGAUCCAGCCAUGCCGCGUGAAGGACUAAGGCCCUAUGGGCUGUAAACUUCUUUAGACGCAGAGCAAUAAGGGCCACGUGUGGUCCGAUGAGAGUAUGCGUAGAAUAAGCAUCGGCUAACUCCGUGCCAGCAGCCGCGGUAAUACGGAGGAUGCGAGCGUUAUCCGGAUUUAUUGGGUUUAAAGGGUGCGUAGGUGGUUUGUUAAGUUUGUGGUGAAAGCGUGCGGCUCAACCGUACCAAGCCAUGAAAACUGGCGAACUUGAGUGCAAACGAGGUAGGCGGAAUGUGAUGUGUAGCGGUGAAAUGCUUAGAUAUGUCACAGAACCCCGAUUGCGAAGGCAGCUUACCAGCAUGCAACUGACACUGAGGCACGAAAGCGUGGGUAUCAAACAGGAUUAGAUACCCUGGUAGU
rnacentral:rRNA from 1 species